rnacentral:rRNA from 1 species
GGCGAACCGGGGGAACUGAAACAUCUAAGUACCCCGAGGAAAAGAAAUCAACCGAGAUUCCCCCAGUAGCGGCGAGCGAACGGGGAGCAGCCCAGAGCCUGAAUCAGUAUGUGUGUUAGUGGAAGCGUCUGGAAAGGCGCGCGAUACAGGGUGACAGCCCCGUACACAAAAAUGCACAUGCUGUGAGCUCGAUGAGUAGGGCGGGACACGUGGUAUCCUGUCUGAAUAUGGGGGGACCAUCCUCCAAGGCUAAAUACUCCUGACUGACCGAUAGUGAACCAGUACCGUGAGGGAAAGGCGAAAAGAACCCCGGCGAGGGGAGUGAAAAAGAACCUGAAACCGUGUACGUACAAGCAGUGGGAGCACGCUUAGGCGUGUGACUGCGUACCUUUUGUAUAAUGGGUCAGCGACUUAUAUUCUGUAGCAAGGUUAACCGAAUAGGGGAGCCGAAGGGAAACCGAGUCUUAACUGGGCGUUAAGUUGCAGGGUAUAGACCCGAAACCCGGUGAUCUAGCCAUGGGCAGGUUGAAGGUUGGGUAACACUAACUGGAGGACCGAACCGACUAAUGUUGAAAAAUUAGCGGAUGACUUGUGGCUGGGGGUGAAAGGCCAAUCAAACCGGGAGAUAGCUGGUUCUCCCCGAAAGCUAUUUAGGUAGCGCCUCGUGAAUUCAUCUCCGGGGGUAGAGCACUGUUUCGGCAAGGGGGUCAUCCCGACUUACCAACCCGAUGCAAACUGCGAAUACCGGAGAAUGUUAUCACGGGAGACACACGGCGGGUGCUAACGUCCGUCGUGAAGAGGGAAACAACCCAGACCGCCAGCUAAGGUCCCAAAGUCAUGGUUAAGUGGGAAACGAUGUGGGAAGGCCCAGACAGCCAGGAUGUUGGCUUAGAAGCAGCCAUCAUUUAAAGAAAGCGUAAUAGCUCACUGGUCGAGUCGGCCUGCGCGGAAGAUGUAACGGGGCUAAACCAUGCAC